AAAAGAGAACGAAAAAAAACAACAAAAAACGAAGAAAAAAAACGAAAAAACGAAAAUAAAUAAAUAAAUAAAAUAUAACAGAUAAUUUUUGGACUUGGGCCUCUCUCAUUUGAGCCCACAGGUCCACAAAAAUCAGGUUAUAAAUUCAGAGUUUCAGUGAAACAAAAGAGAUUCUAUUCCUAUUACCCUGGCUGGGAAAAAGAUAGUGAGAGAAGAGCUAACAGAGUUCAGAGCAACCUCCA
rnacentral:lncRNA from 1 species